rnacentral:misc_RNA from 1 species
GAUGAAGAACGUAGCGAAAUGCGAUAAGUAAUGUGAAUUGCAGAAUUCAGUGAAUCAUCGAAUCUUUGAACGCACAUUGCGCCCGCUAGUAUUCUGGCGGGCAUGCCUGUCCGAGCGUCAUUUCAACCCUCAAGCCCCCGGGCUUGGUGUUGGGGAUCGGCGAGCCUCCGCGCCCGCCGUCCCCUAAAUCUAGUGGCGGUCUCGCUGUAGCUUCCUCUGCGUAGUAGCACACCUCGCACUGGGAAACAGCGCGGCCACGCCGUUAAACCCCCAACUUCUGAACGCUUGACCUCGGAUCAGGUAGGAAUACCCGCUGAACUUAAGCAUAUCAAUAAGCGGAGGA